UACGUAGGUGGCAAGCGUUGUCCGGAUUUACUGGGUGUAAAGGGCGCGUAGGCGGGCAUGCAAGUCAGAUGUGAAAUCUCCGGGCUCAACCCGGAAAUUGCAUUUGAAACUGCGUGUCUUGAGUAUCGGAGAGGCAAGCGGAAUUCCCAGUGUAGCGGUGAAAUGCGUAGAUAUUGGGAGGAACACCAGUGGCGAAGGCGGCUUGCUGGACGACAACUGACGCUGAGGCGCGAAAGCGUGGGGAG
rnacentral:rRNA from 1 species